rnacentral:rRNA from 1 species
UACGUAGGUGGCAAGCGUUGUCCGGAUUUAUUGGGUUUAAAGGGUGCGUAGGCGGCCCCGUAAGUCAGUGCUGAAAUAUCCCAGCUUAACUGGGAGGGUGGCAUUGAUACUGCGGGGCUAGAGUACAGAUGAGGUAGGCGGAAUUGACGGUGUAGCGGUGAAAUGCUUAGAUAUCGUCAAGAACACCUAUAGCGAAGGCAGCUUACUAGGCUGUAACUGACGCUGAGGCACGAAAGUGUGGGGAUCAAACAGG